rnacentral:rRNA from 1 species
CGUAGGGUGCGAGCGUUGUCCGGAAUUACUGGGCGUAAAGAGCUCGUAGGUGGUUUGUCGCGUUGUUCGUGAAAACUCACAACUCAAUUGUGGGCGUGCGGGCGAUACGGGCAGACUGGAGUACUGCAGGGGAGACUGGAAUUCCUGGUGUAGCGGUGAAAUGCGCAGAUAUCAGGAGGAACACCGGUGGCGAAGGCGGGUCUCUGGGCCGAUACUGACGCUGAGGAGCGAAAGCGUGGGGAGCGAACAGC